rnacentral:rRNA from 1 species
CGCAUAGAGAUGAGUCCGCGUCCCAUUAGCUAGUUGGUGGGGUAACGGCCUACCAAGGCAACGAUGGGUAGCCGAUCUGAGAGGAUGAUCGGCCACAUUGGGACUGAGACACGGCCCAGACUCCUACGGGAGGCAGCAGUGGGGAAUAUUGCACAAUGGGGGAAACCCUGAUGCAGCGACGCCGCGUGGAGGAAGAAGGUCUUCGGAUUGUAAACUCCUGUUGUUGAGGAAGAUAAUGACGGUACUCAACAAGGAAGUGACGGCUAACUACGUGCCAGCAGCCGCGGUAAAACGUAGGUCACAAGCGUUGUCCGGAAUUACUGGGUGUAAAGGGAGCGCAGGCGGGAAGACAAGUUGGAAGUGAAAUCUAUGGGCUCAACCCAUAAACUGCUUUCAAAACUGUUUUUCUUGAGUAGUGCAGAGGUAGGCGGAAUUCCCGGUGUAGCGGUGGAAUGCGUAGAUAUCGGGAGGAACACCAGUGGCGAAGGCGGCCUACUGGGCACCAACUGACGCUGAGGCUCGAAAGUGUGGGUAGCAAACAGGAUUAGAUACCCUGGUAGUCCACACCGUAAACGAUGAUUACUAGGUGUUGGAGGAUUGACCCCUUCAGUGCCGCAGUUAACACAAUAAGUAAUCCACCUGGGGAGUACGACCGCAAGGUUGAAACUCAAAGGAAUUGACGGGGGCCCGCACAAGCAGUGGAGUAUGUGGUUUAAUUCGACGCAACGCGAAGAACCUUACCAAGUCUUGACAUCCUGCGACGAUGCUGGAAACAGUAUUUUCCUUCGGGACGCAGAGACAGGUGGUGCAUGGUUGUCGUCAGCUCGUGUCGUGAGAUGUUGGGUUAAGUCCCGCAACGAGCGCAACCCUUACUGUCAGUUACUACGCAAGAGGACUCUGGCAGGACUGCCGUUGACAAAACGGAGGAAGGUGGGGAUGACGUCAAAUCAUCAUGCCCUUUAUGACUUGGGCUACACACGUACUACAAUGGCGUUAAACAAAGAGAAGCAAGACCGCGAGGUGGAGCAAAACUCAGAAACAACGUCCCAGUUCGGACUGCAGGCUGCAACUCGCCUGCACGAAGUCGGAAUUGCUAGUAAUCGUGGAUCAGCAUGCCACGGUGAAUACGUUCCCGGGCCUUGCACACACCGCCCGUCA